rnacentral:rRNA from 1 species
UACGGAGGGAGCUAGCGUUGUUCGGAAUUACUGGGCGUAAAGCGCGCGUAGGCGGCUUUGUAAGUUAGAGGUGAAAGCCUGGAGCUCAACUUCAGAAUUGCCUUUAAGACUGCAUCGCUUGAAUCCGGGAGAGGUGAGUGGAAUUCCGAGUGUAGAGGUGAAAUUCGUAGAUAUUCGGAAGAACACCAGUGGCGAAGGCGGCUCACUGGACCGGCAUUGACG